CUUUACUGUAGCCUGGAAUUGGGUUCGGGCUUGGCCUGCGCAGAAUAGGUGGGAGGCAUUGAAGUACCCCUUGUGGGGGGUAUGGAGCCAUCGGUGAGAUACCACUCUGGCCAAGCUAGAAUUCUAACUUUGACCCGUUAUCCGGGCAGAGGACAGUAUCAGGUGGGCAGUUUGACUGGGGCGGUCGCCUCCUAAAUGGUAACGGAGGCGCGCAAAGGUUCUCUCAGGCUGGUUGGAAAUCAGCCAACGAGUGUAAAGGCAUAAGAGAGCUUGACUGCAAGACAAACAAGUCGAGCAGGGACGAAAGUCGGCCUUAGUGAUCCGACGGUUCCGAGUGGAAGGGCCGUCGCUCAACGGAUAAAAGUUA
rnacentral:rRNA from 1 species